GACGAACGCUGGCGGCGUGCUUAACACAUGCCAGUCGAACGAAGAGCGAUGGAAGCUUGCUUCUAUCAAUCUUAGUGGCGAACGGGUGAGUAACGCGUAAUCAACCUGCCCUUCAGAGGGGGACAACAGUUGGAAACGACUGCUAAUACCGCAUACGAUCUAAUCUCGGCAUCGAGGAUAGAUGAAAGGUGGCCUCUACAUGUAAGCUAUCACUGAAGGAGGGGAUUGCGUCUGAUUAGCUAGUUGGAGGGGUAACGGCCCACCAAGGCGAUGAUCAGUAGCCGGUCUGAGAGGAUGAACGGCCACAGUGGGACUGAGACACGGCCCAGACUCCUACGGGAGGCAGCAGUGGGGAAUCUUCCGCAAUGGACGAAAGUCUGACGGAGCAACGCCGCGUGAGUGAUGACGGCCUUCGGGUUGUAAAGCUCUGUUAAUCGGGACGAAAGGCCUUCUUGCGAAUAGUGAGAAGGAUUGACGGUACCGGAAUAGAAAGCCACGGCUAACUAC
rnacentral:rRNA from 1 species